rnacentral:rRNA from 1 species
UGGGGAAUUUUGGACAAUGGGCGAAAGCCUGAUCCAGCAAUGCCGCGUGUGUGAAGAAGGCCUUCGGGUUGUAAAGCACUUUUGUCCGGAAAGAAAUCCUUGGCUCUAAUACAGCCGGGGGAUGACGGUACCGGAAGAAUAAGCACCGGCUAACUACGUGCCAGCAGCCGCGGUAAUACGUAGGGUGCAAGCGUUAAUCGGAAUUACUGGGCGUAAAGCGUGCGCAGGCGGUUUGCUAAGACCGAUGUGAAAUCCCCGGGCUCAACCUGGGAACUGCAUUGGUGACUGGCAGGCUAGAGUAUGGCAGAGGGGGGUAGAAUUCCACGUGUAGCAGUGAAAUGCGUAGAGAUGUGGAGGAAUACCGAUGGCGAAGGCAGCCCCCUGGGCCAAUACUGACGCUCAUGCACGAAAGCGUGGGGAGCAGACAGGAUUAGAUACCCUGGUAGUCCACGCCCUAAAACGAUGUCAACUAGUUGUUGGGGAUUCAUUUCCUUAGUAACGUAGCUAACGCGUGAAGUUGACCGCCUGGGGAGUACGGUCGCAAGAUUAAAACUUAAAUGAAUUGACGGGGUCAUAA